UACCUAAGCCUUGGUACGCUAUAGCAGCGUC
rnacentral:sRNA from 1 species